CCUACGGGAGGCUGCAGUAGGGAAUUUUCGUCAAUGGGCGCAAGCCUGAACGAGCAAUGCCGCGUGAACGAGGAAGGUCUUCGGAUCGUAAAGUUCUGUUGAAGGGGAAAAAGAGCGGAGAGAGGAAAUGAACUCCGAUUGAUAUUACCCUGCGAGGAAGUCAGGGCACACUACGUGCCAGCAGCCCCGGUAAUACGUAGGUGGAGAGCGUUAUCGGGAAUGCUUGGGCUGAAAGGGUGCGAAGGCGGCCUGCUAAGUCAGGAGUGAAAGGUACCGGCUCAACCGGUACAGGCUCUGGAAACUGGCGGGCGAGAGAGCAGGAGAGGGCGGUGGAACUCCAUGUGUAGCGGUAAAAUGCGUAGAUAUAUGGAAGAACACCAGUGGCGAAGGCGGCCGCCUGGCCUGUUACUGACGCUGAGGCACGAAAGCGUGGGGAGCAAAUAGGAUUAGAUACCCGGGUAGUC
rnacentral:rRNA from 1 species